AGGUCAUAAAAAUAUCAGCAUGUUUUUAUUCCUAAUUCUAGCUUCAGUACAUAGGGUAUCAUAACAGACUUCAAGGUCAUAGGCAAUUUGAACAAUACAUGCAAGCACUGUCAAGUCGAAAUUCUACCUAAAGAUACAGGUUUACUAAUCUACUACCAUAGAGGAGGAAGGAAAUUAAAACCUCUCUGCCCUCAAGAACCUUAAAAUGAAAUCAAGGAAAUAAGAAUAAAAGGUACAAACCAGACAGUACAUAACCGAAUGUAAUGUACAUGUGAAACUGGGAUGAACACCAAUUAGGAACUGCAAAGGUGAGAUGCAGAAAAGCGAGAGAGAGUAUCUAGUUUGGUAAAGGAUUAGUGGGAGUGUUGAAAGAGCUUAGACGUGCGAGGCAAGAAUAAUGGAAAGGAUUUCCACUAGAUGGACAAACCAUGGUAUGCAUUUUUACUUAAAAAGAAAAUACCUUGACUCUGUUUUUCAUCUCAUAAAAAGAAGGGAAAGCUCUAUGGAGGAACAGCUGGCAUCCUGAAAGAUCCUAAGGAGCGCUGCCUUCUUAACACAAAAGCAGAGAAAACUGGGCAACAAUCAGAAUAUCUACACUUUCAGAAAGCAAAUUCUAAGAAAUGAUUCAGAAAAAAGAAAUGGCGAAACACGUAAAACGUGAUCUCAGAACUGAUGACACACGCCACGUUUGAGGCUGGCAGUUCUCGGACUCCAUCAGGACUCUGGAAUCUCAAAGAUUACUGAAGACUCCCAGAAGCUUCUGUUUAUGAAACAAGAUACAGACCUACAUGAGGAACAGUAAUUCGCAAUAAGGGCCACUAUGAAAACAGACCAACUUGGACUCUAGAGCUCACCUCCCUGGAAUCUGUUUUGGGACAAGGGUGGAGUUAUAAAGAAACCCUUCCUGAAGUGAACAAGCCUCAUCUCUCCUGCUGACAAUGCCCAUUUAAGACAUCACUUUUCACAGAUCUCUGCACAAUCAGGAAAGGCUCCAAGGACAAAGCCCUUGUCACUCAACACCCACUGAGAAGAGCAGCAGGAAGUUAUACCUGUAGCGUGGGCUGCUCCAAUCAUCCU